CAAAUACUCCCUCCAUCCAACAAAGGAUGUCUCAACUUUGACUAAAUUUGAAUGCAUCUAUACAUUAUGUUAUGUCUAGAUACAUCCAAUUUUGACAAACUUGAGACAUCUUUUGUUGGACGGAGUGAGUAUACC
rfam:Brachypodium distachyon strain Bd21 chromosome 3, whole genome shotgun sequence.